UACGUAGGGUGCGAGCGUUAAUCGGAAUUACUGGGCGUAAAGCGUGCGCAGGCGGCUUUGCAAGACAGAUGUGAAAUCCCCGGGCUCAACAUGGGAACUGCAUUUGUGACUGCAAGGCUAGAGUACGGCAGAGGGGGAUGGAAUUCCGCGUGUAGCAGUGAAAUGCGUAGAUAUGCGGAGGAACACCAAUGGCGAAGGCAAUCCCCUGGGCCUGUACUGA
rnacentral:rRNA from 1 species